rnacentral:rRNA from 1 species
UACAGAGGUCUCAAGCGUUGUUCGGAUUCAUUGGGCGUAAAGGGUGCGUAGGCGGCUUGACAAGUCAGGUGUGAAAGCCCCGGGCUCAACCCGGGAAUUGCACUUGAUACUGUCUGGCUAGAGUCCGGGAGAGGAUGGCGGAAUUCCCAGUGUAGAGGUGAAAUUCGUAGAUAUUGGGAAGAACACCGAUGGCGAAGGCAGCCAUCUGGACCGACACUGACGCUGAGGCGCGAAAGCGUGGGGAGCAAACAGG